UACGAAGGGCGCUAGCGUUGUUCGGAAUCACUGGGCGUAAAGCGCACGUAGGCGGCGCGUUAAGUCAGGGGUGAAAUCCUGGAGCUCAACUACAGAACUGCCUUUGAUACUGGCGUGCUCGAGUGUGGGAGAGGUUGGUGGAACUCCGAGUGUAGAAGUGAAAUUCGUAGAUAUGCGGAAGAACACCAGUGGCGAAGGCGGCCAACUGGCCCAUUACUGACGCUGAGGUGCGAAAGCGUGGGGAGCAAACAGG
rnacentral:rRNA from 1 species